UACGUAGGGGGCGAGCGUUGUCCGGAUUCAUUGGGCGUAAAGAGCUCGUAGGCGGCUUGGUUAGUUGGGUGUGAAACCUCCAGCUUAACCUGGAGAGCGCCACUCAAUACUGCCAUGGCUAGAGUCCGGUAGGGGACCACGGAAUUCCUGGUGUAGCGGUGGAAAUGCGCAGAUAUCAGGAGGAACACCGGUGGCGAAGGCGGUGGUCUGGGCCAUUACUGACACUGAGAAGCGAAAGCAUGGGGAGCGAACAGG
rnacentral:rRNA from 1 species